UGAAGAUUGUGUGUUGUAUUAUAUUUGUGGCUAUAUCAUCAAAAAUCCCACCAAGCAAAUAAAAUGUAAAGAUUGCCUUACUUUAAUAACUGGUAAAAAACCAAACUAUGAUAAACCUGAAGCUAUAUUUCUUAAUUUAAAAUCAUGAGAAGGUUUGACUUAUCCAAAUGAUUUCAUUUUUAGAUUAUUGACGGCCGUCGAAAAUACAUUUGCAAGACUUUACGAAAAUAAUAAUGUUUUUUUAUUAAUAAUUGAUGACUUUUUCAAUAAUAAU